CCACAGGUAGAAGCAGCCCAGCAAGCAGGAGGAAAUAUUUCCAAGUCGACAGAUGCAGGAACUGAAAAAGGAGGUCACGAUGCUGAGAGAAUAGAUUUAACCCUUUGGUUCCCUGGGAACCGCGAAGACUACGGGGAGCGAGCGCGGCAGAGCCCCCCGGGGUUGGGGGAUUCUUUGAACGAGGCGGGUGUCUCCGGCGGGAAGGUCUCCCAGUCCUCGCAGGGCUCCCUCCAGCCCUCGGAUCGUGCCAGACUUCUCCAGACAGCCCAGCCACCCCGUCACGAAGAAACUGCUCUGCGGCUGCACCCAACACCUUCACCACCCGGAACCCGCAAUCCUCCUCCAUUUGGUUUCCUUCCAAGGCUCCUGCCCGCGGACAGUGAUUGGCAGACCUCGUCAAAAACGGACCCCAAGCCCAACUUUGCAACGCUCCCUCCGCGCAGCCCCCGCCUCCUUCUCCUCAGGCCGGCCGCGUCUGGGCUCCAGCCCCUCAGCCUCUGGCGCGCGGAGGCCCCGGAGCCCGCGCCCCCGGCCCGGGGCCUGCGGGGGGCUGCAGACAAAGAGGCUGCGGCGCCGCCGCGGCCGCCCGGACCGUCCCCUCGGGGACGGUUCCGCGCCCCCCAACCCCGCUCUCGCGCCGCCGCCGCCUCGCCUCACCGGUGGCCCGGGGGCCCGGGCUCCCGAGCCCGCCGCUGCAGCCGCCCGACGAACAAUAGCAGGAGAAGGCGCCGGCGCCGAGACUCGGGCC
rnacentral:lncRNA from 1 species